UAUUGAACCGAAACGGUACGGGCGUCACGGUUCGGUGCAUGAAUUUACACGGAGAAUGCACGGUAUAAAAAUGCAUAAAACUCGCAUGCAAAUUCAUUAAUGUAAUGCAGAAUUACUGUUAGUUACGAGGGUUCUUUAGGGACACCUAAUCUGUAGCCCCGCCUUAACUCUGAAGCUCGUCGAUCGAGUCAGUCAGUCAGAGAUAGCAGCGCUAAGGUCGAGUAUGGCGUGUGGUGGCGACCCACAAGAGUUAGGACUGCUGGUCUCUAAGAUUGCAAGUUUGGGAAAACGUCGGUUUCCUGGUCAGUUACAGUAGUACAGGUGAGAGAGUGGAGGAGAAGACAAGGACUGUGUGUCGGCCGUGUUCAGCAGUUGUUGGAGGAUGAGACUGAGAGGUUGAAGUGUCCUCUAGCGACUCUUUGACUGCCUGAACCCUCCGCCAUGACGGCAAACAUCUGCUACCAGAGCUGUGCUGAGAAGCACUCAAACACAUACACACACACACACACACACUUCCACACAGCGAAAAGAAUGUAUUCCGAAGCUGCUGGGUAGCUGGAAAGAACUAAUUAAAUUAAAUUGUGCAAACGCUAAACUUGACCCUUAAGACAGAGACACACACACACACAGAAAAAAGGUUGUCUGUUCACAUGUGGCCAGCUGCCUUAUUUAUGUAUUAUGUACACGUGUAGGAGUGUAAAAAAGCUGGAGUGUGUGUGUGUGUGUAGGUUGUACCUAUGAUGAGCAGACACUGAUCUUUUGAUCUGCAGUAGACUAUGUUAGCCAAGAAAACUAUUUCUUUACAUUAUUCGCUUGCUCGCUCGACAGAUGGGCAUCCUUUGAGUCAACAUGGGUUGUUGUUGUUGCCAUGGCAGCCAUGGCCUCUUGGUUUGGGCCUUAUUUUGUUAGGAUGGAGGGCUACCUGUCGGGUAGCCGUGGGAUCAUGCUUACUCAGUGAAGUUUGGGCAAGCUGCUAUAUGUGGAGAUUUAUUUAUUUAUUUAUUUAUUUAUUUAUUUAUUUAUUUAUUUAAAUGGAGUAAUGACGAAAUGUCAGUAAAAAAUUGUUCUGAGAUUGCGUAAAUGUAAAAAAUGCCUAAGCUCAGUCUUGUCCAUGUAUCAUCUGAUGUAACAAGCAAACCAUUUUGCGCCAGGCUGUCUCUCUUUUGUACCACGUAUAGUGUCGUAUUAAGUGCAGUCAAGUCGAUUGAAGAGUGCCUUGUAAAGAGUGCCAGUUGUAGCUAGUUGAACCUGUUUUAAUAUGCCUUAGCCACAUCACUUCAAAUAUGUUAUCAUCUGGCUUUGUAGUUCAGUUUUAGAUGGGGUUUGUGUGUGUUUUAAACGGUGUUUGUAAAAAUGUUGCUAGAAGAGAAGAUAAACUAGCAAAGCAUUU